rnacentral:tRNA from 1 species
AGCCCUGUGGUGUUAUUAUACAUGCUGAAUUGCAAAUUCGGAGAAGCAGCAUUACCCCUGCCAGGGCUU